CUAACGAUUGAUCUAGUUAUCUAUAAAGAUGAUGAUUAUAAGAAGUAAAAAGUAAAAUAUAAUAAUGUUUAAUAUAAAGUCUAAAUUACCUAUGUAAUAAUAAUAAUGAUAUGAUAGGUAAUAAGAGUCUUAACCAAAAUUAGUGCCAGCAGUUGCGGCUAAACUAUGGAGACAAACGUUCGUCAUUUAAGGCUUAAAGGAUCCGCAGUACUAUAUUAGAGCAUAAUAUUUGUAUUUAUACCGUAGGUAAUUCAGAAUAAUUAAAGUGAGUGAUAAUAUACUAUGAUAUUAAUUAAACAAAUAAUGAUGAAAAUAGAAUUAAUAGGUAAAAUAGACGUUCAGGGAUGAAAGUAUGAGUAGCAAAGUGGAUUAGAUACCCAAUUAUAGUUCAUACAGUAAACAAUGAAUACUACUAGUUAUAAGUGAAAACAAAGUAUUCCGCCAGGUGAG
rnacentral:rRNA from 1 species